GCUAACAAGUUCUAAUUUCCAAACUAUAGCGACAUGACAGGAGUGUUCAAAGAACCUCUAAAUGGCAGGAUUGCUCUGCUUCUUUUAAGGACGUAAUGUACAAGGCAAAGGUCUUGAUAUGCACUGGUGUUUUUAGGAGUCUGCUGCAGUCUGAUUAGUCUGUCUGUCUCUCUCUCCCAAGUUUUGAACUUAACUUGCGGGAGAGUUUUAUGUCAUUACCUGGCUGGGUUUGGGCCUCAGGCUGCCAGUUCAAUUGCUCUGAUUUUUUUUUUUUUUUUAUAUUUGCUGGCGUCUCGCAUGAUAACGGUUUAUAACGCCAACAUUUUUAGCCAUAUUUUUCAGAAAAUUGUGGUCAGACCCCAGAUUAUACAACUUUUGGGGUGUUGGACUUUUCAAUCAAACUCGUCCAACAAAUCCUUUGCCUAGCAAGUGGCCCCCGGUCGGUCUGUGUGCGUGCGCGCACCAUCACUACCACUCCUGCCAUGCCGUGCGCGCCGCCGUUCCUGCGGAAUUCAGGACAGGAGGAGGCUGAGGUCGCCCUACUAAAGACUUCUAUUGAGAAAAUAAUGAACAACAAAUUUGACGCUCUGAAAGAUGACGACAGCGGUGACCACGACCAGGACCAAGGCUCACCGAAAGACGGUGAGAAGGAAAAAAUCGAAGAGGAGGACAAGGAGCAGAACUCUGCAAAGAAAAAGAUGGUGGUACCGGGGGCCGGUGAGCACCCUCUUCAGUACAACUACACUUUUUGGUACUCCAGACGAAACCCAGGGCGACCAGCGAGCACUCAGAGCUACGAGCAGAACAUCAAACAGAUUGGCAGCUUUGCCUCGGUGGAGCAGUUCUGGCGUUUCUACAGUCACAUGAUCCGACCAGGCGACCUAACAGGCCACAGUGACUUCCAUCUCUUCAAAGAAGGCAUUAAACCCAUGUGGGAGGAUGAUGCUAACAAGAUGGGUGGGAAGUGGAUCAUCCGUCUGAGGAAAGGCUUGGCGUCACGCUGCUGGGAGAACCUCAUUCUGGCAAUGCUGGGAGAGCAGUUCAUGGUCGGAGAGGAGAUCUGCGGCGCCGUUGUGUCUGUCCGCUUCCAGGAGGACAUCAUCUCCAUCUGGAACAAAACAGCGAGCGACCGGGCUACCACAGCCCGUAUCAGAGAUACACUGCGGCGAGUCCUGAACCUGCCCCCCAACACCAUCAUGGAGUACAAGACACACACAGACAGCAUUAAGAGGACCGGGAGAAAACCCACGCACGCACAGGAACCCACGCACGGGGAGAACAUGCAAACUCCACACAGAAAUGCCCAAGGGAGAAUCGAACCCUGGUCUUCCCGAUCUCCAGACUGUUACUGUGUUGGCCAACAUGCUAACCACGAGACCACCAUGCGGCCCUCAUGAAUGUUUUCUUUAAAAAGUUGGUGUUCAACUGCCAAAACUAUAGAUGGGCAUAUUAUUCAUAAGAAUUCUGUCAACUGUGUGACAUUGACUGUGGAUUAAUUGUGUCUUGGAAGCGAUUGAGGUCAAAUGGAGUGUGCACUACUUGACUGGGACCAGCAGAGGCGGUCAACUAGUUUGCAGUCUAAAGGGAAAAAAAAUCUGCUCAAUACAACACUGGCGAUGAAAUAGGAUUUAAGAAGAUGCAGAAAGAUUCUUCUAACCCAUUAAAAAUAUGACAAAAAAUAAAUGAAAACAGAUGCUCACCAGUAAGAAUGUUGCUGCCAGUAGCAACAGUUUGGUUUGCGAAUCCACGUUUAUCGGCACUGCACAAAUGAAAAUGUCAUUUAUUUUAUUUUCCAACAAAACACAUUAGAGCUGCAUGAAAAAACUCACCCUCCAUCCCGAAAUAUUCAUGGUCCAUAUUAUGCUCCUGGUGAAAGCCAGGCCAUUUCUUCCAUAUGGUGCCAAUUCUCUCCCCAAUGUUUGAGAUAAUCUUAUAAAAUAAAUAAAAGGUGUGACAAUGUAUGCGGUAAUGGUGCUAAAAUAGUCAUUUGUGAUAAUACCUGGAAUUGCUGGUUUGUCAAGCAGCGGCUUGGGCAGCACGGCCCCUGAAUUCUGGCUGCAGACGCUCCCUCAGCAUCUUUGACUUCCAUCAGGGGGGUGAACAUGCUCCACCUGGAAACACAGGCCCACAUACAGACAGACAGAACAUGGACUAUCUCCUUACAGAACCCCACAGAGAGGGACCUGGCAACCAGGCCUUCAGCUGUCAUGAUGCGGCAGCACCAGAAUUGUUUUCUUCUGGCUUGUCCCAAAAGUUCAUACUGGGACAGACUUUAAUCUGGCUCUACAAAUGGAAUAUUUAUACCAAGUGGAUCACUCAAACCUCUGCCAGUCCAGGCAUCCAGAGCAUCAUUUAUGCUCUAUGAAGGUUGAAUUAUUUUGGUGUUCCGUUCCUCCCUUUAGGAAGGAUGGCACAUUCCUUCCCUGUCAGGCUUGUGCGGUGCUGUCACUUGUGGCUCCAUGCAAACAGCUGCUUAGUGCAAUGAACCCUCUCUGGUUUAGACCUCUGCGGAGCUGUGUGGCUUUCACUGCUAUUUACUGCUCUGGAAAAAGGCUCACAUGACACGUGCAGUUUGAGAAAGUCAAGGAACCUGUCUCAGACCGAUCAUGAAAUUCACUCUUGCAAAUUAGAUAAAUUAAUGGAAAAGAAUUGCAUUGGAAUAAGAGCUCUAUUUUUGCAUCUCAUCUUUUUGGUCAUUUUCAAAUCAAGAGCAUCCCUUCCUGUAAAUGCCACUUGCAUACACAGGGGAGAUAGUGAGUUAUAUAGGGAUACAUGCCAUUCUGAGUCACCUCUAGUAGUGGAAGCUGUAGAAGAAGUCAAGAAGUUAAUGUACUAGCUAACCAUUAAAACGAUGAAACGACUUCCGUGCUUAAAAUAAAAAAGUACCAGUUGAAAAAUGAAUCAAAUUAUGGAAAAUAUAAUGCAACUAUUAUUGUUUUUAUAAUGGAUCGCUGCCACGUUUUCAUGUGAUAGCGUAUGAAUGAAUUUGAUUGCAAAUCCUUACAAAUCAGCAUCUUCAGGCAUGGCUUUAAAAACAGUAAAUCCGAAAAUUAUUCAUACCCUCACUACAUUUUGAGCAUGUGUGUCGUUUAGCUGAAAUGAAGCAAGUACAUGUUGCAUUACAUUCACAAUGAUCAUUUUUUUGCUUUUUAUUUUCUAAUUAUAUUCUGAAAAUUAUUCAAAUUUCUGAUUCUAUGGGGACACAAAAUUAUUGGACUGUAAUCCAUGCACUAUACAUUUAGACCGGUGGUGUCCAUAGUGCGGCCCGGGGGCCAUUUGCGGCCCGCGACGGUGAUUUUAUCGGCCCGCAGCACAGUCUGAAAAUGUAAUUUCACAAAGAGACUUAAAAAAAAACAACAACAACAGCAAAAGUGGGCAAAUCAAUCAAAAGUAAAAAUAUGAAAAGAAGAGUUGUAAUCUAGCAAGUAAAAAAAGCCAUAUUUUCACAAGAAUAAAUAUUAUGAGGGAAAAUGUUUGUAGCAUGAAGUUAAAUAUUAAAUAACUUUUUUUUAAAAGUCAAACACAAUGAAUAAAGUUGUAAUUUUUGGGAACAUAGGUUGGGUGCAAAUUUAUAACAGGAAUAAAGUCCAAAUAUUAGGAGAAGAAAGUUGAAAUAUUUGGAAAAUUAUACCCCAAAAAAAAAACAACAGCAGAAAUUUUACCAGAGCAAAAUAAAAAUAUUAACAGAAAAAAAUAGUUGCAAAAAACAGUUGUAAUUUUAUGAGAAUAAAAUUGUAAAAUGAGGAAAAAUAUCAUUUCAGUAACAAUGAUGAAAUGCAGAAAAAAUAUGUUAUUGUUUUAAAAGACAUAAAGUUAUAAUGACGAGAAGAAAAUUUACAAGAGGAAAGCUGAAAUGAACUAGUUGGUAAAUUUUAAAUAAAGCCCCAGCAGAAAUGGUAAAAAAACAGCUGUAAUUUUAUGGGAAUGAAGUCAAAAUAUUGAGGGGAAAAAGGCAUAAUCGAAUGAAGAACAAAAGUUGCAAUUUUACAAGAAUAAACAAUUUUUAUAGAAAAGACGUCCUUUUUAGUAGCAUUUCACCUAUAUUACAGAUAUAUUACAAAGAUGAAAUGCAGUUUUUUCUUGAGCUACAUUUAGCUUCUUAGCAUAUCUCAAUGUGUUGGUUUACGAAAUAUCAAAGUGGCCCUCGCAUCCUUUCAUUGUUCAGUAUGUGGUCCUUUGCUGGAAAAAGUUUGGACACCCCUGAUUUAGACCAUUGGACAUGCCUGAUUAAAAACAUAAUGAUUAGAUAAUACAUAUUAUUACAUAUAAUAAUAACAUUAUUACAGAAAAAAAUGGCAAAAAUAUUAAAAAGCUUGUAAUGUAAAAGGGUAUGAAUAACUAUCUACAUGAAACAUUUUGUCAACAUGUAAAAAACAUAAUAAUAAAUAAAAAUAUCCAUCCUACUGUUUACAGUCGUCCUUAUAGCUGUUAAAUGGUCCCAGACCCAACUGCGUUACAUGAAUUUCCGCGAUAUAGGAUUCAGUGUUAAUAAAUGCAAUAUUUUCUAUUUUUUUAGAGCAUAGAAAACCUGUUUAUGACUUUCUAAGUACAGUUUUUAACAUUAUUAGAGCCCUGUAUACAUGAAAUAACACCCCUAUAGUCACUUUUACACUCCUAAUAUUCAUUUUUUACACCACAUUGCAACUCGUUUGCUGCAGGGACUCAAGAUGGCCACAAGCUAGAGAGCUAACCAGCUAGCCUCGAAUUCAUUUUUUUCUAAACUUAACAAGCCAAAAACUUACCACUUCCACACGGGAUCGAAAGAGAACUUUUUUUUCACUCUAUCAUGUCGGACAUUACAUGGCUGACUUCAUGACUUCAUGCAGUGUUAAGGUAAUGUAAGGUAAUGUCUCAAUGGUUUGUGGCAUUACUGCCACCUAGUGACCAGAAUACUACAUAUCAGUUGUAUUUCAAUAUGUUUUCACUAAUAAUAGACCAUAGUCUACCAUGAGCAAUCAUUUAUUCAUUGAUUAAUUUCCACAAAAAAACCCUGCAAUAUUGUGAGGGAUGAUAUUUUGUAAAAUAUUUACAUUCACUAACUAAAAAUUCACUUUAGCUCCAAAUUUGUCCAGGGUAUUAAUGAUGACCUGUAGUUCUCGAGUGGCCUACCUUUGACACACAGUCCCGAUAAGUCGCUUUUGAGCCGUGUAGGCGCUUAUGUCCAUAAGGCAGCAACCGAAACAGCAGCCGUCCAUUCUGAGAGGUCUGUCAAAGUAGAAAACCUGGUUGCCUUGCUUGUCAAAACCCUGCAGGGAGCAAGCUCGAGCUGGACCGCAACACUGAAGGCACACGCAUGAACUCUCUGAAAGGAAGGAAUGAAGAAAAGCUGAGAUGUUCUGGGGGGACAUGGACACGUGUGUGAUGCUACCUUCCACAGCCACAAACAGUUGUGACUUGUUGCCCCCUGAGGCGAUGCUGUAGAUCCUUUGUGGAACACACUGUGGACCUACAAUCAGGAGUCACUUGAUGACACAAUCCACAUCAAUUUAUACAGCUGACUGCUACUCACCCUGUAGCUGUGGUCUUGCAGUGAUAUGAAACUCACUGACUUCAUCCAGCACACUCAAAGAGUCGGACCCUCCUGCGCCAUCAAGCCACGACUCCUCGCUCCUCGUGUUCUGCAGCUUGCCAGACGUUUGGAGAGGUUGGUGUCCUGCUGUUGCCCAAAGGGAAGAGGCUGAUCGGUAACGGCUGACAUGGUGGCGAUACCUGCAGGAUUCCACAUGAUGGAUUGGGGUCAUGAAGUAAAGCUCACCAGAAAUUACUACACUUAACCCCCGUUGUUAUUAUUAUUAUUAUUAUUAUUAUUAGACCCCAUUAUUUGCAAUACUAUUAUAACCUCAUUAAAGCUAAUGAAAGACUUAACUGUUUUUCUUUUCAGUCGUUUCUGUUAUAGUUUUUUCCGAGAUACCGUGUCUACGCUUUGAUCCCCUCUUGUAAUUCCACAUUUAACCUACGGAGGCAAUAGCGAGUUAAUGUAGCACUUCUCUAAUCAACAUUAGUGACUGAAGACAGAAGAAAAAGUGGAUGAUAAUUUAGUUUUUUUCUAAUAUAGUUUCCCCCCCACCUUUUAACCCCGCAUUUAACAUAAGGAGCCAAUAACGGGUAAUGUAGGACUUCUCUGAUCAACAUUCAUGACUGAGGACAGAGACCUUGUUUGUUCAUUUAACA